GUCAGUGUGCUCAAAACAGUCCGGAAGAGCAGAGAUGUCUCUUGCUGUCCAGGUUUUCAUCUGCUUCAGAACCAGUCUGGAGCGUCUAACGAGCGGUCUGUAUGCUGGGAUUAACAUAACAGAGAGGUGGUCUGAGUACCCGGGAGGGGGCGGGGCUCUGCCAGGUUUGUGUAAACAAAAUCCAGCGAGUUCGCGCUUCUCAUCGCAAAGUCCACAUCCUGAUGGAAGUCAGGGAGCGCUGAUUUGGAAUUUCACAUGACUGAAAUGUCCGGCGACAAUAAACAGUCCGUCAGGGUUUGUGUUCCGCAGUAAUAGCCCCCGACAGUUCACAAAGCGCCUCCUUAACAUUAGCGCUGGGGGGAAUGCACACUCCGACUAAACUUCACCAGCGAGGAGCAGUAACUAGAAACUAGCACUGAGUUCUUGCACCAUUCGGGGUUGAUGUAAACACACAAGCCACCAUCGCGAGCCUUACCGCACAAAGUUGCAUUGCUGUCGUCAUGAAACGAGGGGAGCCCGUUUAGCUUUAGCCUAACACGGACCCCCGCCCUCUUGCCACGCUUCUGCUUCCUCGCACAGCGCUUACGACGCCCUCUCCCCCGGACACCGGCAUCACAAGACCCCGAAGACUGGAGGCUUGGUUCCCGCAACAAGCCGAGCUCACGUAACUUCUCCAGCAGACCAUCAUGCAAUCUGGUCAUCGGAUGAUAUCUAUAGUUUAGCAGAAACUGGCGAUGGUAAACACGGACCAUGGUUGCCCCGAUAUCCAUGUGCCGUAUAAUACAAAGGAUUUGAAAUAUUAGAUCCGGUUUAGUAUACUACAGUUCCGGUUCACCGCGAGAUGUCUCCACUGGAAAGCCGGAUACAACCGACAGAGGAUCAUCAGGACUGCAAAGAAUGGCUACAGAGACAAGAUUGUGUUGAACUAUCAAAGAUCAGACCUCAAGCACAUGUAGAAUGGUUUGUGCUCCAUUACAGACUACAAAGGUUGGAAAAUCUGCAAUGGGGACUAUCUGCCUCACUACCUGAUGAGCAGAACACCUUCUAUGCUCAGUUUAAGGCCAGCAACACCUUCCAUGCAGAAAAACUCCCGGUGAACUGCAACAGCUGCGCACUAACCAUCACUGUGCCUUAUGUGAUCAGAUCUUUCAAGACGGCCAAUACAAGCAAAGCACCAAAUCUGGUGUCCUCAAAUCAUGUGCCAGCCACCUGCGGAGACUCAGGAAGUUUAAUUUCUCCGAAAAUCCUGACCAUUUUCUACAAAUACCCCAUAGAGAGCAUCCUGACUGGGUGCAUGAAUGUUUGGUUUGGCAGCUGCCCCCUGCGUGAAUGCAAGGCCCUCCGAAGAGUGGUGAGAGCAGCUGAACUCAUUAUUGGCAACAGACUCCCAGCCUUACAAGACAUCUUCCAUACAUGAUGUCUGAGGAAAGCACACUAAAUCAC
ensembl:lncRNA